UCCUACGGGGCGCAGCAGUGGGGAAUAUUGCACAAUGGGGGAAACCCUGAUGCAGCAACGCCGCGUGAGUGAAGAAGUCAUUCGUGAUGUAAAGCUCUAUCAGCAGGGAAGAAAAUGACGGUACCUGAGUAAGAAGCCCCGGCUAACUACGUGCCAGCAGCCGCGGUAAUACGUAGGGAGCGAGCGUUGUCCGGAAUUACUGGGUGUAAAGGGAGCGUAGGCGGGAUUGCAAGUUGGAUGUGAAAACUGCGGGCUCAACCCGGAGCGUGCAUUCAAAACUGCGAUUCUUGAGUGAAGUAGAGGCA
rnacentral:rRNA from 1 species